AUACCUGGCAGAGGAUAUACCAAGACAACAAUGGUGUAUUUUUCAAGGAGAGGUUUAUCCAUUUCACACUGGCUAUUCUGUUAUUUUCCCAAAUGUGGAAAACUUAAUUACAUGCUUUGUACUAGUAUGGGAUUGCAUU
ensembl:snRNA Gm24929 predicted gene, 24929